rnacentral:misc_RNA from 1 species
AAGUCGUAACAAGGUAACCGUAGGUGAACCUGCGGUUGGAUCAUUACCGAUCUAAGCCCUGACAAAGGGCGAUCUACACCUGUGAACUGUACUGUGAUUGGCAGCGGGGCGCAAGCUCCACGUCAGGCAGACUCCCUGGACUCUGGCUGGGAUGCUGCCAUCUGUCACAAACAACUUACAAAUUUGACUGAUCUCAUCACGUUUUACGUGAUACAAACCAAAAACAACUUUCGACAAUGGAUCUCUUGGCUCUC